rfam:Candida tanzawaensis NRRL Y-17324 unplaced genomic scaffold CANTAscaffold_4, whole genome shotgun sequence.
GUCCCAGUGGCCGAGUGGUUAAGGCGACACCCUGCUAUUUGCAGCUCAGGUGUUGGGUUUUACCUGCGCAGGUUCGAAUCCUGUCUGUGACG